CUUUGGCGCAUGGCUGCCAGGGCCUGGGCGGGGGGCGGGGGGCGGGCGCAGGUUCCGAAACCAGCCAACGUGGGAACGGGAAAGGAGGCUUGCCUUAAUAUGGACGAACCCUAAGACUUAAGAAGUCCAUACAGUUUUAAAGAUGAAGCACCAUGAAAUGCAGAAACUUCUGGUCCGGCUAUCUCAGCUGAUUAUUUUCAUGUUGCCACAAUUUGUCAAAUGUGGACAUGAUAAUUGAAGUUCAACUAUCUUACAACAAUAAAGUGAUCCUAAACCAUUGCUAAGGAUGGAGGAAGCUAGAAUCUAGGUCCCUGAUGACAUUGUGGAGCUGCCAAACCAGCCCAGGAUUGCCUACCUCUGGACUUUUCAUUAUGGGAGAAAAUAAAACAAUUUGUUUAAGUCA